rnacentral:sRNA from 1 species
GAUGGCCGGGGCUCUUGAGCUAUAAGUGGCACCUCAGGGCCCUGACGGGCGUCUCGCCAUGCUGCUCCUGGGCCUGCUGCUGCUGCUGCCCCUGCUGGCUGGCGCCCGCCUGCUGUGGAACUGGUGGAAGCUCCGGAGCCUCCACCUCCCGCCUCUUGCCCCGGGCUUCUUGCACCUGCUGCAGCCUGACCUCCCCAUCUAUCUGCUUGGCCUGACUCAGAAAUUCGGGCCCAUCUACAGGCUCCACCUUGGGCUGCAAGGUGAGAGGCUGAUCUCGCUCUGGCCCUCACCAUAGGAGGGGGCGGAGGUGACGGAGAGGGUCCUCUCUCCGCUGACGCUGCUUUGGCUGUCUCCCAGAUGUGGUGGUGCUGAACUCCAAGAGGACCAUUGAGGAAGCCAUGGUCAAAAAGUGGGCAGACUUUGCUGGCAGACCUGAGCCACUUACCUACAAGCUGGUGUCUAAGAACUACCCGGACCUGUCCUUGGGAGACUACUCCCUGCUCUGGAAAGCCCACAAGAAGCUCACCCGCUCAGCCCUGCUGCUGGGCAUCCGUGACUCCAUGGAGCCAGUGGUGGAGCAGCUGACCCAGGAGUUCUGCGAGCGCAUGAGAGCCCAGCCCGGCACCCCUGUGGCCAUUGAGGAGGAAUUCUCUCUCCUUACCUGCAGCAUCAUCUGUUACCUCACCUUCGGAGACAAGAUCAAGGAGGUGUUAAAAACCUGGAGCCACUGGUCCAUCCAAAUUGUGGACGUGAUUCCCUUUCUCAGGUUCUUCCCCAAUCCAGGUCUCCGGAGGCUGAAGCAGGCCAUAGAGAAGAGGGACCACAUCGUGGAGAAGCAGCUGAGGCAGCACAAGGCGAGCCUGGUGGCAGGCCAGUGGAGGGACAUGAUGGACUACAUGCUCCAAGGGGUGGCGCAGCCGAGCAUGGAAGAGGGCUCUGGACAGCUCCUGGAAGGGCACGUGCACAUGGCUGCAGUGGACCUCCUGAUCGGUGGCACUGAGACCACAGCAAACACCCUCUCCUGGGCCGUGGUUUUUUUGCUUCACCACCCUGAGAUUCAGCAGCGACUGCAGGAGGAGCUAGACCACGAACUGGGCCCUGGUGCCUCCAGCUCCCGGGUCCCCUACAAGGACCGUGCACGGCUGCCCUUGCUCAAUGCCACCAUCGCCGAGGUGCUGCGCCUGCGGCCCGUUGUGCCCUUAGCCUUGCCCCACCGCACCACACGGCCCAGCAGCAUCUCCGGCUACGACAUCCCUGAGGGCACAGUCAUCAUUCCGAACCUCCAAGGCGCCCACCUGGAUGAGACGGUCUGGGAGAGGCCACAUGAGUUCUGGCCUGAUCGCUUCCUGGAGCCAGGCAAGAACUCCAGAGCUCUGGCCUUCGGCUGCGGUGCCCGCGUGUGCCUGGGCGAGCCGCUGGCGCGCCUGGAGCUCUUCGUGGUGCUGACCCGACUGCUGCAGGCCUUCACGCUGCUGCCCUCCGGGGACGCCCUGCCCUCCCUGCAGCCCCUGCCCCACUGCAGUGUCAUCCUCAAGAUGCAGCCUUUCCAAGUGCGGCUGCAGCCCCGGGGGAUGGGGGCCCACAGCCCGGGCCAGAGCCAGUGAUGGGGCAGGACCGAUGCCAGCCGGGUACCUCAGUUUCUCCUUUAUUGCUCCCAUAUGAACCCCUCCCCUCCCCCCUGUAAACACAGUGCUGCGAGAUCGCUGGCAGAGAAGGCUUCCUCCAGCGGCUGGGUGGUGAAGGACCCUGGCUCUUCUCUCAGGGCGACCCCUCAGUGCUCGGCAGUCAUACUGGGGUGCGAGAGAGGUGGGCAGCAGCUCAGCCUCCCCCCGCUGGGGAGCGAAAGUUUCUUGGUCUCAGCUUCAUUUCCGUGAAGGGCACCGAGAACUCGAAGCCCUUCCAGUGGUACCAGCUCACUCCCUGGGAAAGGGGUUGUCAAGAGAGAGUCAAAGCCGGAUGUCCCAUCUGCUCCUCCCGUUCCCCUUAAGGAGGUGGCUCCCAGCACUCAACCAACCUCCCCGCAGAGCUCCCCUCCUGACCCUCCACUGCAGAGGAUUGAGGCUUAAUCCUGAGCUGGUCCUUUCCAGCCAAUAAAUCAACUCCAGCUCCCUC